UUUUUUUUUUUUUUUUUGCGUUCUCUUUCCCUCUCCCAAUAUGGCGGCCUCAGCAAAAAAGAAGAAUAAGAAGGGGAAGACUAUCUCCCUUACAGACUUUCUGGCUGAGGAUGGGGGAACUGGUGGAGGAAGCACCUAUGUUUCCAAACCAGUCAGCUGGACUGAUGAAACAGAUGACCUAGAAGGAGAUGUUUCAACAACUUGGCACAGUAAUGAUGAUGAUGUGUAUAGGGCGCCUCCAAUUGAUCGUUCCAUCCUUCCCACUGUUCCACGGGCUGCUCGGGAACCUAAUAUCGACCUGAGCCGUCUUCCCAAAUCGCCACCCUACACUUCUUUUCUAGGGAACCUACCCUAUGAUGUGACAGAAGAGUCAAUUAAGGAAUUCUUCAGAGGAUUAAAUAUCAGUGCAGUGCCCUUACCACGUGAACCCAGCAAUCCAGAGAGGUUGAAAGGUUUUGGUUAUGCCGAAUUUGAGGACCUGGAUUCCCUGCUUAGCGCCCUGAGUCUCAAUGAAGAGUCUCUAGGUAACAGGAGAAUUCGAGUGGACGUUGCUGAUCAAGCACAGGAUAAAGACAGGGACUAUCGUUCUUUUAGCCGAGAUAGAAGUCGGGAUUCUGAUAAAACAGAUACAGACUGGAGGGCUCGUCCUGCCACAGACAGCUUUGAUGACUACCGGCCUAGAAGAGGUGACGAUAGCUUUGGAGACAAGUAUGGAGAUCGUUAUGAUUCAGACUGGUAUCGCGAUGGGUAUCGGGAUGGCCCUCGCCGGGAUAUGGAUCGAUAUCGCGGCCGUAAUCGUUAUGAUGACCGAGGGAGCAGAGACUAUGAUAGAGGCCAUGACUCCCGGAUAGGCAGUGGCAGAAGAGCAUUUGGCAGUGGAUACCGCAGGGAUGAUGACUACAGAGGAGGCGGGGACCGCUAUGAAGACCGAUAUGACAGACGGGAUGAUCGGUCAUGGAGCUCCAGAGAUGAUUACUCUCGGGAUGAUUAUAGGCAUGAUGAUAGAGGUCCGCCCCAAAGACCCAAACUGAAUCUAAAGCCUCGGAGUACUCCUAAGGAAGAUGAUUCCUCUGCUAGUACCUCCCAGUCCAGUCGAGCUGCUUCUAUCUUUGGAGGGGCAAAACACGUUGACACAGCUGCUAGAGAAAGAGAAGUAGAAGGACGGCUACAGAAGGAACAAGAGAAGUUGCAGCGUCAGCUGGAAGAGCCAAAACUAGAAAGACGGCCUCGGUAGAGACACCCAAGCUGGUGGAGUGAAGAAACUCAGGAACAGGAGCGGUCGAGGAGAGGAAGUGAGUCAUCGCAGACUGGGAUCUCCGCCACAUCUGGCAGAAAUGCACGAAGGAGAGUGAGAAGUCUCUAGAAAAUGAAACACUCAGUAAGGAGGAAGAUUGUCACUCUCCAACUUCUAAACCUCCCAAACCUGAUCAGCCCCUAAAGGUAAUGCCAGCCCCUCCACCAACGGAGAAUGCUUGGGUGAAGCGAAGUUCUAACCCUCCUGCUCGAUCUCAGAGCUCAGACACAGAGCAGCAAUCCCCUACAAGUGGUGGCGGCAAAGUGGCUCCAGCUCAUCCAUCUGAGGAAGGACCAGCCAGGAAAGAUGAAAACAAACUAGAUGGGAUGAAUGUCCCGAAAGGCCAAACUGGGAACUCUAGCCGUGGUCCAGGAGACGGAGUGAACAACUGGAAGGAGUCAGAUCGGAAAGAUGGCAAAAAGGACCAAGACUCCAGAUCUGCACCAGAAACCUGAGGAAAAUCCAGCGUCCAUGUUCAGUUCUGCGAGCAAGUAUGCUGCUCUCUCUGUUGAUGGUGGAGAUGAAAACGAGGGAGAAGAUGAUGCCGAAUAGACCUCAGCAUCCUGUGCUUUCUCCUCAUUUCUCUCCACCCUGGAACAUUCGAGAGCAAAUCAGGCCUCUAUCCAGACAAGACAAAAUAAAACUCACCGUCUCCUGGAAAAAAAAAAAAGAAAUCAAGUUUUUAAAACAUCUUAAAAAGUUGUGUCUUUAGUAUGCAAUAUUUAAACAUUGCCUGCAAUUCUGGAAUAACAGUAACCCUAAGAUAGAUACGAUUGAAAAAGGUGGCCAGGUCCAAAAGAGAAACUGCUUUGGAGGAAAAUGGCAAUCCCAUUGUUCUGCAUAAACCACUGGCUUUUCUUUAGCCUGAGUGAGAGGCUUGAGGACAGGGAAGUAUCGAAAGGGAAUUUCUCAGUCGAUAGUCCCCGAGCAGAGAGGUUGAGUUACGUGCGGCUCCCUUGAUAUGGUUUGGAUCUGUGUCCCUGUCCAAAUCUCAUGUGGAGUUGUAACCCCCAGUGUUGGAAGUGGUGUCUGGGUGGUGACUGGAUCAUGGGGGUGGUUUCCCAUGGUUUGGCACCAUCGCCCCUUGUUACUGACAUCUAGAGGUUUAAAGGUGCGUGGCCCCGCCCCCUUCUCUCACUUGCUCCAGGUCUGGCCAUGGGAAGUGCCUGCUCCCGCUUCACCUGCCAUUACUUUCCUGAGGCCUCCACAGCCAUGCUUGCUGGGCAGCCUGCAGAACCGUGAGCCAGUUCAACCUCUUUUCUUUAUAAAUUACAUAAUCACAGGCAUUUCUUUAUAACCCUUUGAGAAUGGACUAAUAACUAUAUCCCCUUACUUAGCCAGCACUUGAAGUUUCAAAAAUGAGGAUCAAGCAGUUCCUGGGAGCAUCCUAUAAGUGAUAACGAUUUUAAAAGGGGGACAUCAAAGUAGUUGUGGGAAAGCUGAAGGACCCAGUUAUCUCCACCUGAGGUGGGUAGCUGUGAGGGGCUAUGCAGAGGAGGUAUGAAGAAUGUGGGACAGCAGAGGCUGAGUAGAAAUGUGCCAGGUAGCAAAGGACCUUCCCAGCAGAGGCAAAGUUGGGGGUAAAUGUUGAGAGAGGUGAAAGUGCCUAGUGUGCUUGGGAUGGCUUGUAGAUGCAGGUGGAAAUGGAAUGUGGGGCAGAAUGGGGAAGGUCUUGCCAUCAUCCUAUGGAAUUUGGACUUCAUUCUCUAGGUAGUUUGUAAAGCAUGGGAAUGACUUGACUAGCAUUGGGAAGAUCAUUCGCCAUCAACACCAAGGAUAGCUUAAAAGAGGGCUGGUUUGCUCCUGCCCCCGACAUGGUUCUUCUCUGCAUCCUUGGCCCUCUCAUGCUUCAGUCCCAUCCCUAACUGGGACCACAUUUUAUGGUUCUGCCCUAGGUGUCUGUCUCUCUCUCUC